GGGGUUGUGGCUCAGUGGUAGAGUACUUACUUGCCUGGCAUGUGUGAGGCCCUGGGUUCAAUCCUCAGCACCACA
rnacentral:tRNA from 1 species